rnacentral:rRNA from 1 species
AGCUCUGUAAGCGUAUACCAAAGUUGUUGCAGUUAAAACGCUCGUAGUCGGAACUUGGUGGAUGGUGAGCAACGUCUUCAUUGACGGUAGUUUUACCAAACGCCUUUGUGGAGGGCGGCCUACUGGUCCUUUACUGAAUCGAUAGGUCGCUGCCACCAUUUACUGUGAAAAAAUUAGAGUGUUCAAAGCAGGCGUUUGCCGUGAAUACAUUAGCAUGGAAUAAUAGAAUAGGACCUGGUCUCUAUUUUGUUGGUUUGUUAGAAUCAGGUAAUGAUUAAGAGGGAUGGUUGGGGGCAUUUGUAUUCCAGCGUCAGAGGUGAAAUUCUUGGAUUGUUGGAAGACAAACAGCUGCGAAAGCGUCUGCCAAGGACAUUUUCA